AAAAGCACCCCGGAAGGGGAGUGAAAUAGAACCUGAAACCGUGUGCUUACAAGUAGUCAGAGCCCGUUAAUGGGUGAUGGCGUGCCUUUUGUAGAAUGAACCGGCGAGUUACGAUUUGAUGCAAGGUUAAGCAGUAAAUGUGGAGCCGUAGCGAAAGCGAGUCUGAAUAGGGCGUUUAGUAUUUGGUCGUAGACCCGAAACCAGGUGAUCUACCCUUGGUCAGGUUGAAGUUCAGGUAACACUGAAUGGAGGACCGAACCGACUUACGUUGAAAAGUGAGCGGAUGAACUGAGGGUAGCGGAGAAAUUCCAAUCGAACCUGGAGAUAGCUGGUUCUCUCCGAAAUAGCUUUAGGGCUAGCCUCAAGUGAUGAUUAUUGGAGGUAGAGCACUGUUUGGACGAGGGGCCCCUCUCGGGUUACCGAAUUCAGACAAACUCCGAAUGCCAAUUAAUUUAACUUGGGAGUCAGAACAUGGGUGAUAAGGUCCGUGUUCGAAAGGGAAACAGCCCAGACCACCAGCUAAGGUCCCAAAAUAUAUGUUAAGUGGAAAAGGAUGUGGCGUUGCCCAGACAACUAGGAUGUUGGCUUAGAAGCAGCCAUCAUUUAAAGAGUGCGUAAUAGCUCACUAGUCGAGUGACACUGCGCCGAAAAUGUACCGGGGCUAAACAUAUUACCGAAGCUGUGGAUUGUCCUUUGGACAAUGGUAGGAGAGCGUUCUAAGGGCGUUGAAGCAUGAUCGUAAGGACAUGUGGAGCGCUUAGAAGUGAGAAUGCCGGUGUGAGUAGCGAAAGACGGGUGAGAAUCCCGUCCACCGAUUGACUAAGGUUUCCAGAGGAAGGCUCGUCCGCUCUGGGUUAGUCGGGUCCUAAGCUGAGGCCGACAGGCGUAGGCGAUGGAUAACAGGUUGAUAUUCCUGUACCACCUAUAAUCGUUUUA
rnacentral:rRNA from 1 species